AAUUAUCUUUAGGACAAAGAAUGAACACAGAUGAGUGCCAGAAUCCUAUGCCUCCCCCACGGUAAGAUCACUUAAGAGAUAGCUUACAUGCAUUUCCUGAAAAAUAUGCUCAAGGAAAGUUAAUGAAGUCUCACAUCUAUCUGCAUCACUCACGUUAACAAGAUGACUGGAAGCCUCUAAAGACACUGCCAAAGCAAUAUCAGCCACUUCCUCCAGAACCAAAGAUAAGCAGCCAGCUCUCUCACACAAGGAAAACGUUCAGCCAAGCUCAUACCUUUCCAAUAUCAGCAAAAAUCACAAGGUAAUACUAUGUUCUAUUUCAAACACUGGAGUUUCUUUACACUAAUUUCCUGAGAAUCAAAACACUCUCCUCGACAAAACCAUGAGACUGUAUCUCCAUCACAUCCCUGCUUUUACUGAAGAAUAAAAAUGUCGAUUCUUUAGACA
rnacentral:lncRNA from 1 species